GGGGAUGUUUUGGUUUUGACAGCAGACGACAUUGGAAAGUAAGCACGUGGAGCAUUUUGUCCCGGCUCCUUAAUCUCAGGACUCAAGCCUUAACUGGCAACAACAAUUAUGCACUCGCUGCCUGAUCGUCUGUAUGACUGAUCGCUUAAUCUUUUCGGACCAGGUCCGGGAAGACGAGUAUCCCACCGGAUUUUUCGCCUUUUGGUUUCCGGUAUAUGGGGUAUCGAUUACAAAAGGCUGGUUGUAAAAAAUCUUCGGUUUUACAAUAAGAUUUUAGGAGAUACGAAGUAUGUGGCGCGCCUGUACGCAUCAUGCUUCCGACAAACAACUGCAGGAUAAACGUGUAGAAAGCUUUUGAGUGCGCUGUUUGGACGGCGGUUCGAAUCCGCCCAUCUCCACAU
rnacentral:tmRNA from 1 species